UACGGAGGGUGCAAGCGUUAAUCGGAAUUACUGGGCGUAAAGCGUGCGCAGGCGGUUUGUUAAGUCCGUUGUGAAAGCCCCGAGCUCAACUUGGGAAUUGCAGUGGAUACUGGCAGGCUGGAGUACGGUAGAGGAAGGUGGAAUUCCCGGUGUAGCAGUGAAAUGCGUAGAUAUCGGGAGGAACACCAGUGGCGAAGGCGGCCUUUUGGACCAGUACUGACGCUCAUGCACGAAAGCGUGGGGAGCAAACAGG
rnacentral:rRNA from 1 species